UACAGAGGUCUCAAGCGUUGUUCGGAUUCAUUGGGCGUAAAGGGUGUGUAGGUGGCGCGCUAAGUCGGGGGUGAAAUUUCGGAGCUUAACUCCGAAACUGCAUUCGAUACUGGCGUGCUUGAGGACUGGAGAGGAGACUGGAAUUCAUGGUGUAGCAGUGAAAUGCGUAGAGAUCAUGAGGAAGACCAGUGGCGAAGGCGGGUCUCUGGACAGUUCCUGACACUGAGACACGAAGGCCAGGGGAGCAAACGGG
rnacentral:rRNA from 1 species